GUUGCUUUACCUCCAGCUGGGCUGAGGCGUUGCCCAGGCAACCGAGGGGCUUCUCCACCUCAGGCAGUUUGUAACCAUCAGUCAAAACCACAAAAGGUUACCCCAGGCUGUAACUCAGGUCUGAUAGCUUCACACCGGGUCUACGUGUUGUAAACUGGUGACUGUUUGGCCACGUGAUCUCUGGUUCAUACACUCCCAUACUUGGGUAUUUGAGAAAUAACAAAAGAUUAGUUUGGGAAGGCUCCAGGAAAUGCGGAUGUUUAUGCAAGAUCAUUGAACCCUUUCAAAGGCUAAGGCUUCUUUACUCAAAUGUACACUGAGCAGUGACAUUUCUAUGCCAGAAAGCAGAAUAAUUGACAGCUCUAGAGAUGGAAAUUAAUAUUCAGGAGGCCAACCUGUUUCCAGACAAAGGAUUGUGUGUUAGGAUCCUGCCCUCACUCCCACAUAUGCACAGCUCGGGGUCUUGCAUCUUACAUCAUCAGUGGGUGCUGGUGACUAUGUACCCGCCUUAAAAAACCUGACGCGGACUCCCGCCCUCUCUCUCCACUCUCUCUCUGUUCCCUGUUCUCUCUCUGCUCUGCUCCCUGCUUCCAUCCCCUGCCAGGCCUAGCUUUCCCCUCUCUCUCUCCCAUCCCUUUCCCCUCCUAAUAAAUCUCUAAAAACUACCAUUGGAUUCUGUUGUGAUUGUGACUUUUCUACCAGUAACCAGCUCCACCCCAGUGCCAUUUACUUAUCAUUUGGUACCAUGAAUCAGAUCUUGGAUAGGAAAUUCCACACACUCAGCAU